rnacentral:rRNA from 1 species
AGAGUUUGAUCCUGGCUCAGAUUGAACGCUGGCGGCGUGCCUAACACAUGCAAGUCGAGCGGUAACAGGCGUAGCAAUACGUGCUGACGAGCGGCGAACGGGUGAGUAACGCUUCGGAAUCUGCCCAAUGGUGGGGAAUAACCAGCCGAAAGGUUGGCUAAUUCCGCAUGAGCCCUACGGGGGAAAGCGGGGGAUCGCAAGACCUCGCGCCGAUGGAUGAGCCGAAGCCGGAUUAGCUAGUUGGUAGGGUAACGGCCUACCAAGGCGACGAUCCGUAGCUGGUCUGAGAGGACGACCAGCCACACUGGGACUGAGACACGGCCCAGACUCCUACGGGAGGCAGCAGUGGGGAAUAUUGGACAAUGGGGGAAACCCUGAUCCAGCGACGCCGCGUGUGUGAAGAAGGCCUGCGGGUUGUAAAGCACUUUUAGUGGGGAUGAAAAGCUCAGGGCUAACACCUCUGGGUCUUGACCUAACCCACAGAAAAAGCACCGGCUAACUCUGUGCCAGCAGCCGCGGUAAUACAGAGGGUGCAAGCGUUAAUCGGAAUUACUGGGCGUAAAGCGUACGUAGACGGUUGGAUAAGUCGGAUGUGAAAGCCCCGGGCUCAACCUGGGAAUGGCAUUCGAGACUGUUCAGCUAGGGUGCGGAAGAGGGAAGCGGAAUUUCCGGUGUAGCGGUGAAAUGCGUAGAUAUCGGAAGGAACACCAGUGGCGAAAGCGGCUUCCUGGUCCAGCACCGACGUUCAGGUACGAAAGCAUGGGGAGCAAACAGGAUUAGAUACCCCCGUAGUCC